rnacentral:rRNA from 1 species
AACGAACGCUGGCGGCAUGCCUAACACAUGCAAGUCGAACGAGACCUUCGGGUCUAGUGGCGCACGGGUGCGUAACGCGUGGGAACCUGCCCUUAGGUUCGGAAUAACUCCCCGAAAGGGGUGCUAAUACCGGAUAAUGUCUUCGGACCAAAGAUUUAUCGCCUUUGGAUGGGCCCGCGUUGGAUUAGCUAGUUGGUAGGGUAAAAGCCUACCAAGGCGACGAUCCAUAGCUGGUCUGAGAGGAUGAUCAGCCACACUGGGACUGAGACACGGCCCAGACUCCUACGGGAGGCAGCAGUGGGGAAUAUUGGACUCUGGGCGAAAGCCUGAUCCAGCAAUGCCGCGUGAGUGAUGAAGGCCUUAGGGUUGUAAAGCUCUUUUACCCGGGAUGAUAAUGACAGUACCGGGAGAAUAAGCUCCGGCUAACUCCGUG